GGGCCCGUGGCUCAGUCAGGCAGAGCGGCGGACUCUUAAUCCGCAUGCCAUGGGUUCAAAUCCCAUCGGGCCCGCCA
rnacentral:tRNA from 2 species